CAAAUCCAUUAAGAAACCCGUAUGUGCAUUGUGCGGGUAUAAAUAUAGUGAUUCUGUGUUCCUUAGCCAGUUGAUACACUAACAUAGCAGUAUGAAGUCGUUCUUGGUUAUUGCUGCUCUCUUGGUAGUUUUAGUACUAGUGCAGGGUGACGAUUCAGAAAACACUCACAGACUACAGAAGAGACAGUUGUCCAGUUCCAUCCUCUUCCCGACGAAGCCUACUCCUCCACCGUGCAUCUUCUACGAGUGCAUCCGAAGCUGCCGAGCCAAGGGUUACCAAGGGGGAGGCUGGUGCAGCGCCAGCGGUUGUGCCUGUUACAGACGAUGAACCAUCAACUGCUAAAGAACACUCUAGGUCUAGAUUGUAGAACUUUUCAGAAGUAAAUAAAAAAAGUAAAAAUUGA